rnacentral:lncRNA from 10 species
GCUUUUAUGAGCUGUAACACUCACCGCGAAGGUCCGCAGCUUCACUCCUGAAGCCAGCGAGACCACGAGCCUACUGGGAGGAACGAACAACUCCCGACGCGCCGCCUUAAGAGCUGUAACACUCACCGCGAAGGUCUGCAGCUUCACUCCUGAGCCAGCGAGACCACGAACCCACCAGAAGGAAAAAACUCCGAACACAUCUGAACAUCAGAAGCAACAAACUCCGGACACGCCGCCUUUAAGAACUGUAACACUCACUGCGAGGGUCCGCGGCUUCAUUCUUGAAGUGAGUGAGACCAAGAACCCACCAGUUCUGGACACAAUUUCAAGUCCUCAGGUGCCAUCAAUAUUCUGAAAAUGGCAGUGAUUUUUAUUCAACCUGUAUAAGGCACUUUCACCAUGUACCUGGAAGCAACAUCUACAUCUUUUUCAGAAUUGAACCAGAGUCCGGUGAAUAUCAGCACUGGGACCAGUUAGCAGAGGAAAAGGAAAGAAUAAAAGCGAAAAGAAUGAAGAGUCAUAUGAUUACCAACUUUUCCUUUUUCAUAUAAAUUGAGUGUAUAUGGGUCUGGAACAACCUGAAUUUCCAUCAAGUCCUGGCUAACCUCAUUAUGUCCUAUGAAUAUUUUUGACUAAUCCCACUUUACAUUAAUCUGUAUUGUGAAUGUGGAUAUUGAAUUAUAUUUCUUUGUAAUCCCAUUAUCCAAAAUCCAGUUCAGAGACUAUUAGUUACCAAUGUUCACUGUGAAGGAAAAAAAAAAAAAAAAAGCUCAGAGGAUAAACAUGUGAUAUGGUUUGGCUGUGUCCCCACCCAAAUAUCAUCUUGAAUUGUAGCUCCCAUAAUUCCCACGUGUUGUGGGAGGGACCCGGUGGGAGAUAAUUGUAUCAUGGGGGUGGUUCCCCCAUACUAUUCUCAUAGUAGUGAAUAAGUCUCACAAAAUCUGAUGGUUUUAUGAGGGAAAACCCCUUUCACCUGGUUCUCAUUCUCUUCUCUGGUCUGUCGUCAUGUAAGACAUGCCUUUCACCUUCUCCACCAUGACUGUGAGGCCUCCCCAGCCACGUGGAACUGUGAGCCCAUUAAACCUCUUUCACUUAUAAAU